AUUUGAUUAUUAUUUUAUUAAAUAUUUUAAAUUUUUAAGAUUAUAGUUGUUAAAUAUAAAAUGAGUAGGUGUGUUGGAAGGUGGUAUAUUUAAGUUUUGGAUAUAAAGGAUUUUAUUUUUUUUAGUUAGAUUUAAGUGUAUUAUUUUUUAGUAUAUUUGUUUAUUUUAUGUUUAAUAAUUAUAGUUUUGGAAGUUUGAGAUAUUUAAUAAGAUGAUAAUUAGAU
rnacentral:misc_RNA from 1 species